GACAGAGGGUGCAAGCGUUGUUCGGAAUUACUGGGCGUAAAGCGCACGUAGGCGGAUUUGUAAGUCAGGGGUGAAAUCCCGGGGCUCAACCUCGGAACUGCCUUUGAUACUGCAAAUCUCGAGUCCGAUAGAGGUGGGUGGAAUUCCUAGUGUAGAGGUGAAAUUCGUAGAUAUUAGGAAGAACACCGGUGGCGAAGGCGGCCCACUGGAUCGGUACUGACGCUGAGGUGCGAAAGCGUGGGGAGCAAACAGG
rnacentral:rRNA from 1 species